rnacentral:lncRNA from 1 species
CAGCUCCCUAGGCCGGAGAGGAUGCGCACACACCCCGAGAAGUGCAACCCCAACAAGUUCUGCCUCUACCACCGCGACCACGGCCACGACAUAGAGGAAUGCAUCCAGCUCUGGGAUGAGAUCGAGGAGCUCAUUUAGCGAGGUCGACUCGACAGGUUCAUCCGACGCAGGCCCGAGGGUAGAGGAGAUCGGCCAAGGGCCCUUCCACAGCCUGAACCGCCAAGAAGGGAGGAGCAACCCGGGGACCGACCUCCCAUCGGGACCAUCGACUCCAUCACCGGAGGGCCUCAAGGAGGAGCGGACCACCCGC